rnacentral:lncRNA from 1 species
UACUUUCAAAAUAUUUUUUAAAAUAAAAUAAACUAUCGUAAUGAGUUGUAUCUCAAAUAUGUUAUCUAUAUGCAAGAAAAUUAUAAAUAUAUCAUGUAAUAUUAAAUAUUUUGGAUUGUAAUUUCAAAAUUAAACGUUAAAACCAACAAUUUAUUUUUUAUGAUAGUUCUCUUUGUUGUAAGUUGUAUGAUAAAUAAUGAUAUACCAUUUAAAUUUUUAAAAUAAAAAUGAUUUAAAAUCAUUUUAGAGAUAUUAAAUUGAAAAAGUAUAUGAAAGUUUCUUAUCUCUUUUUAUAAUUCUAAAAUUUAUUUUAAAAUAAAUAAAUAAUAUGAUAUAAGGUUUAAGCAAAUUGUAUAUUUUAAAAUAACUAAAUAAUUGUAAUGUUAUAAUUUUGCUUUUAGCAAUGUUCGAACUCAUGACCUUAACAAAUGAGUAGUAUGUGUUUUGACCUAUUAAAAAAUGAAGAUACGGUUGAGGAGGUAGAUGGUCAGGUUGACAUCAAAAGAGUUCAGGUUGCUUUGAUGAUAUAAUGAUUUCUUUUUUUUGCAGCUGGGUUAGGUUUAGAUAGACGAUCCUUAGGUUGAGAUGAAUGAUAGGUUGACAUGGAAGAAGCUCAGAUUUCUUUGAUGAUAUAAUGAUUUCUGUUUUUGGAUUGUUUAAGGAUUUCUGCUCCACCACUUCCGAUGCUCCUUCCAAAAUGAUUCUGGUAUACCUCUCUCUUUACAUAGUUCCAGUGCCAGCUUUAGAGCCGGGUAAUCAACAUCAUUGUACCCCAAGACCUCUUAUAAAACGAUACAAUUCAAAAAUUCAGAAUAAUAAUCAAUAUAUAACCGUGUUUAAUUAUUAAUCAACUAUAACAGCUACUUACUUCAAUAAA